rnacentral:rRNA from 1 species
GAUGAACGCUGGCGGCGUGCCUAAUACAUGCAAGUCGAGCGAAUGGAUUAAGAGCUUGCUCUUAUGAAGUUAGCGGCGGACGGGUGAGUAACACGUGGGUAACCUGCCCAUAAGACUGGGAUAACUCCGGGAAACCGGGGCUAAUACCGGAUAACAUUUUGAACCGCAUGGUUCGAAAUUGAAAGGCGGCUUCGGCUGUCACUUAUGGAUGGACCCGCGUCGCAUUAGCUAGCUGGUGAGGUAACGGCUCACCAAGGCGACGACGGGUAGCCGUCCUGAGAGGGUGACCGGCCCAACGGGGACUGAGACACGGCCCAGACUCCUACGGGAGGCAGCAGUAGGGAAUCUUCCGCAGUGGACGAAAGUCUGACGGAGCAACGCCGCGUGAGUGAUGAAGGCUUUCGGGUCGUAAAACUCUGUUGUUAGGGAAGAACAAGUGCUAGUUGAAUAAGCUGGCACCUUGACGGUACCUAACCAGAAAGCCACGGCUAACUACGUGCCAGCCGCCGCCGUAA